AUAAGAAAACUGUUUAUUUGUGGCCAGUUAAUUUCAGUGAAAUGACUAUUUACAGUCAAAAUGAGUCUGUUUUAAUCAUAAAUAGUCUUUUCGUCGCAAUUAAAUGGCUACAAAAGUCAAUUUUUCUUGUAGUGAAGGCAAAACAGAUUUUGUGAAAU